UGGGGAAUAUUGGACAAUGGGGGAAACCCUGAUCCAGCAAUGCCGCGUGAGUGAAGAAGGCCUUAGGGUUGUAAAGCUCUUUCGCCCGCGAAGAUAAUGACGGUAGCGGGAGAAGAAGCCCCGGCUAACUCCGUGCCAGCAGCCGCGGUAAUACGGAGGGGGCUAGCGUUGUUCGGAAUUACUGGGCGUAAAGCGUACGUAGGCGGAUGCGCAGGUUGGGGGUGAAAUCCCGGGGCUUAACCUCGGAAUUGCCCUCAAAACUGCACGUCUUGAGACCGAGAGAGGUAAGGGGAAUUCCUAGUGUAGAGGUGAAAUUCGUAGAUAUUAGGAAGAACACCAGUGACGAAGGCGCCUUACUGGCUCGGUACUGACGCUGAGGUACGAAAGCGUGGGGA
rnacentral:rRNA from 1 species